AGAAUUCAGGUUUCGGGGACUCGAGGAGCUUCUCUCGCCCGCCUUUCAUGCUGCGGUGAGGCCAAGGGUGAGCUUCUGGCAAGCGAUGGAGACGUAGAAGACGAGGUGGGUGAGAGAGAGAGGAGGGGGAUGGAAAUCCAAGCAUUAUACUGGACAUAAACACUAGACUUGGAGUAGCACUGCUGUGCAGGUGCAGUAGUUGGAAAGCUCAUCAAUUUGGUGACGAAGUGAAGGUUGCCCAAGCUGAUGUAAUCAAGUAGCCGGAUAACAUUAGGCAACUGAUGCCUGCAAAGUUUUUGAAGGUAUAGCUAUGAAUUUGUCACAAGUGCUAAAGCAAAAUUGUCGGUUUUUUUUUUAAUGUAAGUGUGUGAAAACAAAAGAAGUUUUGCGUUUGUUUGUUUGUGGUGUGCCAAUUUAAAAAUUCAUGUCUCGAAAUAUUGAAGAGAUCGUGUUGUAUUGGAAUUUGAAAUUUUCGAGCAUAUAUCUCUCUUUUCCUCCAAGUUCACAAGCAUUUUCAUUUUCCUUUGAAGGUAUGAGUUUUUUCCUAAAUCCAGCUUUGAUCCUUAAUCCUUCUGCUUAAUUGUUGGUAAUUUUAGCUAUGUUAGGCCUUCAUGAACUCUCUAUUUCCGAUAAAAACUAUAUUAUUACAUUCUUCCCAAGUUGACUAGCAUAUAUCGUUUUGUAUUAUCUUUGAUGAAUGACAAGCUUAUUUGUUAUUGUUACGUUCUUUUCCGCUUUUUAAAACUAAA